rnacentral:rRNA from 1 species
AUUAAACGCUGGCGGCAUGCCUUACACAUGCAAGUCGAACGGCAGCACGGGGGCAACCCUGGUGGCGAGUGGCGGACGGGUGAGUAAAGCAUCGGAACGUAUCCUGGAGUGGGGGGAUAACGUAGCGAAAGUUACGCUAAUACCGCAUAUUCUGUGAGCAGGAAAGCAGGGGAUCGCAAGACCUUGCGCUCUGGGAGCGGCCGAUGUCGGAUUAGCUAGUUGGUGGGGUAAAGGCCUACCAAGGCGACGAUCCGUAGCGGGUCUGAGAGGAUGAUCCGCCACACUGGGACUGAGACACGGCCCAGACUCCUACGGGAGGCAGCAGUGGGGAAUUUUGGACAAUGGGCGCAAGCCUGAUCCAGCCAUGCCGCGUGAGUGAAGAAGGCCUUCGGGUUGUUAAAGG